AUAUAUAUAAACAAACUAAAGGGAUUUUCUCCUACCGAUUAUCACUUUUAUACGUUUAAAAAAAAAAUCUAUUUUGCUAUAUAACUGGAGAAACAGCAUAAAUACGUUUAAUAAUUCGUUUUCAUGUGUUCUACUAGUUUCUUUAUGUUCAUCAGUCUUAUUUUUUAAUAUAGAAGAUCGAAAAUCAUUAAUAACAUAAUAAAAUUAUUUCAGUAUAUUCCCUGAGUUACAUUUCAAAUUGGGGAGAAAUAAUUCAAAAAUCGAGUUAAAGAAGAUAUUUUCACUGUGUUCAUUUGCAAAUAUUGAAAAUAAAUUUUCCAUUGAGGUUUUAAUUGUUUUUUUUGUUUGAGAAUAAAUCGUAAAACUUUUAUACAAUGCAUCUUCCAUUGAGCAUAAAUGAUGUCGAAGACUUCGUUAGGUACUUGAAAGCGCAAAAUGUUCCUCAAUUUAAUAUAUUGGCAGACAUUUUGUACGAAUCAAGAAAUUUUAAGGUGUCUGAGAAAGGCAUUAAAUAUAAAGAUGCAUUAAAAACUCCCGUGACGCUUGAUAUGAUUAGAAGUGACUAUGAAAUUUAUAAAUUUGAAAUACGUUCAAACGUAUACAAUUUAUUGUUUGGGCAAAAAAACUAUUUGAAGUUUUAAUUUUUUUUAUUCUAUAUUAUCACAUAAUGUAAACAAUGAAAUUAUGUACUCCAUAUGCACAACUGAUGAUUGCAUACGUGAUAUGGUAUAUGAUCAAGAUAGUUUUACAAUAAAAUAUAUUAUAGAUCAAAUAUCCAUUAAUCAGAAUAGUAUGUACUAUUUAAUUUUUAAUUUUCCAUUACGUUCAAAUGUCAUUAUUGUGAUAAUCAAUUAUUUAAAUGGUUCAUUUAAAAAAACUUAUGUAUAUAGUAUUUCUUUUUUUAAAUUUUUUAAUUAGUUAAUUUAAGAGAAACUAACAAUCAUUUAUUUUAGAAAUGAUUUAUAUAGUAACAUGUUACCAAAAAAAUUGGAAUAUUAUAGUCUAGUAGUAGCACACACAAUGAUGUGGGAGAUCGUGUCAAGUGGAAGUUUAUGAUAAGGGUGGCAGACCCCAAGUAGUUGGGAUUAAAGCGAGGAAAAAGAAGAAGAAGAAGUAGUAGCACACACAAAUAGAGUAAAAAAAUUAUUAAAUUACAAAGUAAAAUGAUUUAAUUUUGUAAUUGAAACCUAUCAUAUCAAACUUGAUUCGUCAAUAAAUACUCUAAAAACAUUAUAAAUGAAUGAUUUUAAUUGUUUGUAUGGAGAACAUGGGAAAAGUAACUGUUUAAUUGAUAAAUUAGAAUAUUUUUCCAAUUUUUGAGGGUAUAUCUUCAAUAUUCCUUGAUCUUUAUUGAAAUUAUUGAAUUUAAAUGAGAUAAAAUCAAAGGAGUUGAAAAUUUAUUUUAACUUAAAAAGAAUUAAGAAAAAAAUGCAAAAAUUCCUUGCCUUACACGGAUUGAAACCUUGUACCCCAAGCGCGUAAAACACAAGUGUUACCGACUCAGCAACCGUAAAUUUAAACCGUCGACUGAAAAAAAAUGACAAUUUUAAGCUAGUUCAAAUUUCAAAGUUAUAUUAUUGACUUAAAAAUUAAAAUAAGCUUAACUUUCUAUGCUAUAUCAAUUUGAUUUAUAUAAUAUUUAUGAAAAUCAGUGUACUCGCCUUGUAAGGUAUUUUAAAAUAAAAUAAAAUACAAAACCCAAAAUUUUAACACAAAAAUAGCAUAUUUUUGAAUACGGUAGUGUUUUUCACCAUGAAGACAAAUCCAGAGGUCAAAUUUUUUUUUUUUAAAUUAAAGUAUAUUACAUAUGCUUUAAUUUAAGGUAUAUAUAAAAGUGUCAGUCUUUCCAGAACAUUUUCAAAAGUUAAGUUGAAAAAGUCAAUUAAAAUAGUUACCAUUUUGAAACCUUUCCUGUGAGCUGGUAAAGGGCCAAAUGUUCACAAAAAUAUAUCAUGAUGGGUAAAUAAGAAAAUUAGCGAUUUUUAAAUUUAUAAUUUUUUGGAAGAUUUCUCCCAUUUACGGGGAACGAGGGAAUUGUUUUCAAUUUUUGAGGGUAGUGUCUUUGAUUAGAUACGAUUUGUGAUCUGUUGACGUAUUGUUGAAAGAAAUCGGUUAGGUGAGAUCUGAGAAAAUGUGGUAACAGACACAAAAAGAAUAUAUCUUUAUAUCUUUAUCGUCAAUUUGUUAGUAAUACAUUUCCUACACAAUAUUUAUUGUGCCCAGUGUAGCUGGGUAAUUUUACUGGAAUCAGUAACCUACCUGUAAGGAUAGCUCAAAAAACCUAAUGCACAUAGGAGCAAGAGGGCUCCAGGGCACCGGAUCUGAGCCAGAGCCCCAGCUAGGCAAAGCAUAGUAUUUAUUAUUUAUU